UACGAAGGGGGCUAGCGUUGCUCGGAAUUACUGGGCGUAAAGCGUGCGUAGGUGGUUUGUUAAGUCUGUUGUGAAAGCCCCGGGCUCAACCUGGGAAUGGCAAUGGAUACUGGCAAGCUAGAGUGCGGUAGAGGUAGUGGAAUUCCCGGUGUAGCGGUGAAAUGCGUAGAGAUCGGGAGGAACACCAGUGGCGAAGGCGGCUACCUGGACCAGCACUGACACUGAGGCACGAAAGCGUGGGGAGCAAACAGGAUUAGAUACC
rnacentral:rRNA from 1 species